rnacentral:rRNA from 1 species
UACGUAGGGGGCAAGCGUUGUCCGGAAUCAUUGGGCGUAAAGCGCGUGUAGGCGGUCCGAUAAGUUCGCUGUGAAAGUCGGGGGCUUAACCCUCGGAUGCCGGUGAAUACUGUCGGGCUUGAGUACGGAAGAGGCGAGUGGAAUUCCUGGUGUAGCGGUGAAAUGCGCAGAUAUCAGGAGGAACACCAAUUGCGAAGGCAGCUCGCUGGGACGGUACUGACGCUGAGACGCGAAAGCGUGGGGAGCAAACAGG